UACGGGGGGGGGCAAGCGUUGUUCGGAAUUACUGGGCGUAAAGGGCUUGUAGGUGGCCAACUAAGUCAGACGUGAAAUCCCCUCGGCUUAACCGGGGAACUGCGUCUGAUACUGGAUGGCUUGAGUGUGGGAGAGGGAUGCGGAAUUCCAGGUGUAGCGGUGAAAUGCGUAGAUAUCUGGAGGAACACCGGUGGCGAAGGCGGCAUCCUGGACCAUUACUGACACUGAGAAGCGAAAGCCAGGGGAGCAAACGGG
rnacentral:rRNA from 1 species